UACGGGGGGAGCAAGCGUUGUUCGGAAUUACUGGGCGUAAAGGGCUCGUAGGCGGCCAACUAAGUCAUACGUGAAAUCCCUCAGCUUAACUGGGGAACUGCGUGUGAUACUGGAUGGCUUGGAUUUGGGAGAGGGAUGCGGAAUUCCAGGUGUAGCGGUGAAAUGCGUAGAUAUCGGGAGGAACACCAGUGGCGAAGGCGACUUCCUGGCCUGUUCUUGACGCUGAGGCGCGAAAGCUAGGGUAGCAAACGGG
rnacentral:rRNA from 1 species